rnacentral:rRNA from 1 species
CCUACGGGGUGCUGCAGUGAGGAAUAUUGGUCAAUGGCCGGGAGGCUGAACCAGCCAAGUCGCGUGAGGGAAGACGGCCCUACGGGUUGUAAACCUCUUUUGUCAGGGAGCAAGGUGCAGGUCGGGACCUGCGGUGAGAGUACCUGAAGAACAAGCAUCGGCUAACGCCGUGCCAGCAGACGCGGUAAUACGGAGGAUGCGAGCGUUAUCCGGAUUUAGUUGGUUUAAAGGGUGCGCAGGCGGAGGCACAAGUCAGCGGUAAAAUCGCGGGGCUCAACCCCGCUCCGCCGUUGAAACUGUGGCCCUUGCGUGCGCGAAGGGUAGGCGGAAUGCGUGGUGUAGCGGUGAAAUGCAUAGAUAUCACGCAGAACUCCGAUCGCGAAGGCAGCCUACCGGCGCGCAACUGACGCUCCUGCACGAAAGCGUGGGUAUCGAACAGGAUUAGAUACCCUUGUAGUC